rnacentral:rRNA from 1 species
CCCUUAGAUGUCCUGGGCCGCACGCGCGCUACACUGAGUGUCUGAGAUACGAGUCUGCCUGGUCCGGCAAGGUCUAGGUAAUCGCUAAAAGACACAUCAUGCUUGGGAUAGAUUAUUGCAAAUAUUAAUCUUGAACGAGGAAUUCCUAGUAAGCGCAAGUCAACAGCUUGCGUUGAUUACGUCCCCGCCCUUUGAACACACCGCCCGUCGCUACUACUGAUUGGAUGUUUAAGCGAGGUUCUCGAACUGCUAGCGACUUAGCUUCGGUGAGGUCGCAGUGUGGGAAGUGAACCUAGCUUUGGUGUCUAGAGGAAGUAAAAGUCGUAACA